UGUCAACUAUUCUAGUGGUCAUUAUGC
rnacentral:piRNA from 1 species